rnacentral:rRNA from 1 species
UACGUAGGGUGCAAGCGUUGUCCGGAAUUAUUGGGCGUAAAGAGCUCGUAGGCGGUCUGUCGCGUCGGCUGUGAAAUCCCGAGGCUCAACCUCGGGUCUGCAGUCGAUACGGGCAAACUGGAGUGUUGCAGGGGAGACUGGAAUUCCUGGUGUAGCGGUGAAAUGCGCAGAUAUCAGGAGGAACACCGGUGGCGAAGGCGGGUCUCUGGGCAACAACUGACGCUGAGGAGCGAAAGCGUGGGGAGCGAAC